rnacentral:piRNA from 1 species
UCCACAGUGCCAGGGUUCCAAGGCUGCCCAAU